CAACAAACAAAUCUAAUCUCUGCAUUAUAUAUCUCUCCCCACAACUGCAUCUUUUAUCAGCCGUUUCAAAAUCUCCAGUGCAGUUUUCGUCCCUUCCAACAAGUGAAAAGGAGGAAUCGAGCAGACUGUGAAUCCAAAUUCUCCUUGCAAUCCCAAUUUAUUCUCUUCAUUCCAAAGGGUGAACUUGUGCACGUUGUUGCGGUUGGAACAGGAAGUGUUUGGGGAGUUAAGCUGUUGAGGUGGGCUUUCUUUUUAAAUAAGGACUAUGUCCUAAAU